rnacentral:tRNA from 1 species
GCCGCGGUGGCACAACCUGGUACUGCGCGGGAUUGCUAAUCCCGUUUCCUUCGGGAUAUGUGGGUUCAAAUCCCACCCGCGGCG